CGUUGGGCGGGGGCGGCGGUCCGAGCGGCUGCUGCAGCGGAAGCGGGUCCGGGUCGCGCAGGGCGGGGGCGGCGCAGCGGGCGGAGGCGGCCGUGGGCCGCCUGGGCAGAAUGUCACGAUGGACGAGGGCGGCACGCCCCUGCUCCCCGACAGCCUGGUCUACCAGAUCUUCCUGAGCCUGGGCCCGGCCGACGUGCUGGCCGCCGGGCUGGUGUGCCGCCAAUGGCAGGCCGUGUCGCGGGACGAGUUCCUGUGGAGGGAGCAGUUCUACCGCUACUACCAGGUGGCCCGCGACGUGCCCCGACACCCAGCGGCCAUGUCCUGGUACGAGGAGUUCCAGCGGCUGUAUGACACGGUGCCCUGCGUGGAGGUGCAGACGCUGCGGGAACACACAGACCAGGUCCUGCACCUCAGCUUCUCCCAUUCCGGGUACCAGUUCGCGUCCUGCUCCAAGGACUGCACUGUGAAGAUCUGGAGCAACGACCUGACCAUCUCGCUGCUGCACAGCGCAGACAUGCGGCCCUACAACUGGAGCUACACCCAGUUCUCCCAGUUCAACAAGGACGACUCGCUACUGCUGGCCUCGGGGGUGUUCCUGGGGCCGCACAACUCCUCAUCCGGCGAGAUCGCUGUCAUCAGCCUAGGUGAGCACGGGCGGCGGGUUGACCCUGCCCCCGCCCCACACCGACAGCCUGUCCAGCCCCGGCCUCCCCACAGACUCCUUCGCGCUGCUGUCCCGCGUGCGGAACAAGCCCUACGACGUGUUCGGCUGUUGGCUCACCGAGACCAGCCUCAUCUCGGGGAACCUGCACCGCAUCGGAGAUAUCACCUCCUGCUCGGUGCUGUGGCUCAACAAUGCCUUCCAGGUGCGUGCGGGGCUAGGGGCGGGGCUGCCCUCCCCGGGGCCUGGCGCCCACCUGGCACGUGCCCCCGCCCCCAGGACGUGGAGUCAGAGAACGUCAACGUGGUGAAGCGGCUGUUCAAGAUCCAGAACCUCAAUGCCAGCACCGUCCGCACGGUGAUGGUGGCCGACUGCAGCCGCUUCGACAGCCCUGACCUGCUGCUGGAAGCCGGCGACCCGGCCACGUCCCCCUGCCGCAUCUUUGACCUAGGCAGCGACAACGAGGAGGUGGUGGCUGGCCCGGCCCCCGCCCACGCCAAGGAGGGCUUGCGGCACUUUCUGGACCGCGUGCUGGAGGGGCGGGCGCAGCCACAGCUGUCGGAGCGCGUGCUAGAGACCAAGGUGGCCGAGCUGCUGGCCCAGGGGCACACCAAGCCACCCGAGCGCAGUGCCACAGGCGCCAGGAGCAAGUACCUCAUCUUCACCACUGGCUGCCUCACCUACUCCCCACACCAGAUCGGCAUCAAGCAGAUCCUGCCACACCAGAUGACCACGGCAGGGCCCGUGCUGGGUGAGGGCCGGGGCUCCGACGCCUUCUUCGACGCGCUGGACCACGUCAUAGACAUACACGGACACAUCAUCGGCAUGGGCCUGUCGCCCGACAACAGGUGGGCCUCUUGCCAGUGUCCCAGGCGGGGUGCCCGCAGGCGGCCCACACCUAGCACAGUGCCCCUCGCCCAGGUACCUGUACGUGAACAGCCGCGCCUGGCCCAACGGUGCGGUGGUGGCCGACCCCAUGCAGCCACCACCGAUCGCGGAGGAGAUUGACCUGCUGGUGUUCGACCUCAAGACCAUGCGGGAGGUGAGGCGGGCUCUGCGUGCGCACCGCGCCUACACGCCCAACGACGAGUGCUUCUUCAUCUUCCUGGACGUCAGCAGGGACUUCGUGGCCAGGUGCAGGGCGCGGCGUGGUGCAGGGUGGGCGUGGGCGGCAGCGGGCGGGCGGCCAGCUCACCCAGGCGCUGUUCUGCAGCGGGGCAGAGGACCGGCACGGCUACAUCUGGGACCGCCACUACAACAUCUGUCUGGCCAGGCUGCGGCACGAGGAUGUGGUCAACUCAGUGGUCUUCAGUCCCCAGGAGCAGGAGCUGCUGCUCACGGCCAGCGACGACGCCACCAUCAAAGCCUGGCGCUCCCCACGCACCGUGCGUGUCCUCCAGGCACCUCGCCCACGGCCUCGCGCCUUCUUCUCCUGGCUUGCCAGCCAGAGGCGCUGAGGUGUGCUGGGUGCACUGGAGCCACCGGGACCCCUUGAGGACGUUGCCAGGCUCUGUGGCUUUUUCCCGAGCGGGAGAGGUGGAGAUGCUUGUAGCAGUUACGCCUUAGGAAGGGGACAACCAGGCCCCGCCACGCGCUCACACGCAAACCUGCUCACGCAGCUGUGAUGCUUGGCACAGGGUGGCCAGUGCAGAUGGAGCCCAAGGCCCCCUCGGCCUCCUGGCCAGCUUGGGGUACACAGGAUACUGGGGGUGCCGCUCCUCACUCAACCCCAGGCUAGGGGUACACCUGACCCAGCUGGCCUCGGCCCGGGGCACCUUCGGCUGGUCCUGUGGGGCCCUGGACGGUGGCCCAGUGGUGGCAGGGGCUGCUCCUGGCUGUGGUUGUGCGCCCGGGGCUUGGGAGCGGCCGGUCACGCUGCUGUGGGCCCGAGUGUGUUGCAUGUCCACGCACCACCCGUUCAGGGCCCUGAAUAAACAGUUGGCAACAGCA
rnacentral:sRNA from 1 species